CCGUAGCUCAGUUGGAUAGAGCAUCUGCCUUCUAAGCAGAGGGUCGCAGGUUCGAGUCCUGCCGGUCCUGCCA
rnacentral:tRNA from 1 species